CAGGACCGAGGGUGGGGGGUCGGGUCGGGGCUUUACUUUGGUCUUUGUGUUUGGAUUCUGGUCUGGUUGACUGGGACUGGCUUCCGCUAGACUUCACUUACUUCAGCAGUUUCACGUCCCUUAACAGCGUUGGAGGAAAUUGAGAGGAAAGGUCUUUCUAAAAACUAAAAAAAGAAGGGAUCACUCGUUUUGUCAAAGAAAGCUUUGUCUGAGUUGAUUCACCCUUAAGCCUUGGGUAUAUUAUUAUAUGAAAGCUAUAUUAAACACAAAUGAAUAUUAAACAGAUCUUUAUUAUUUUGUAUACCAGAGCAUGCUGUGGUGCCGUAUGCUCUCUAACAGUAGACUCAACCACAGGCUGGACGUUACUUUACCAGGUGGAAAGACAAAUAAUGAGGACCGUUUUAUUUAACUGCUGUUGCUGCUGAACGCAGUGGCACACAGCAUGUAGUCAAAGCGUUUUCUGAGACAGCGUCCACAUCUGUAGCGCUUCAGCAAACCCGCAGUGAUUUUUGAGAAAGACUCCAAACAACACCACGCUAAUUGGACUUCUAGGUACACUGGGCCUCAUGAAAGAACAUUUUCUUCUUCGUCUUCUUCGUGCGCGGACGUGUUAUAAUUGCACAGCUGAGCCUUGUGAACACCACCUGUUAAUCAGAAAGUCUGCUCCUUAAAGUUGAAACCCCCAAAGUUUACUUUUCUGUUCCAGCUUUCAUGCUCAAAAAUGUUCCUAGCAGAGGGUCACGCUGCGGAGAUUAAAGUCUUGCUGCCGGAAAUCAGCAGACAAAAAAACAACAAAUAUAGCAAUGUCCGUAAUUACAAUCCCUGAGAAAAAAGAAGAGAAAUAACCUGCUAUUUGCAGCUGUAAUCAGAGAGCUGUAUGCUCCCAAAAAAACAAAAACACCCUGCUAAAGCAAAGCAGUCCAGGUGGUGUUCUGUGCCAGGUGUAGCAGGGGAUAUGUUUAGCUCGACAGGGACCAGUAUAAAGAUGCUGAGGCAGCUGUUGUUAGGAAACAGUGACCCCAAAAAGCUGGAGGUCAUGUUCACUGCUUGCUCAUGUAUUGAACAGAAGUCUGAUUUUACAAAAUUGGAAAUGUUGUGAAACCUCACAACCUGCAAACAGGUUGUUUUUCAUAUACUAGUGAAUAUGAAAAGAUGAAUACCGUGGAGAUAUGUGUCCAGCUUUAGGGCUAAGUGGUAGAUGCUGAGGUUUGCUAUCGAUAGAGCACGCUGUCGGGUUAGAGUUAGAGAUCUCCUCAUACAAGGCGGUUUUUGCACGAGGUCCAGUUUUCACAGCAAACUGCGUAUUCAAAGUCGGGAUGUGGACGUUUGUCUAAACAGAAACCACGAACGGUGUUUUCUGCGAGCACAGCAGGGGAAUCUGAAGAGGGUUGGUUUUAGCUGGCCUUAUAUAAUCUUUCUAACUUGUUUCUAAUGCUGACUGUUCAAUACUCUUUGUAUCUCACUUUGGAAAAAAGAAUUGUGUGGAAAGAAGAAGAAAAGGUUUGUUAUCUGUUAUUGGAAUAAGAGCACGGUAAUAACAGAGUACAAGCUGUCUUUUUGCCGUAACGGGUCACACGAGGUCCUCUUUGUUACUCUGCAAUAUAUCAAAACACCUUUUUUUGCAGUAUUUUGUAGAUCCAAGACCUCAACAUUUUUAAAUUCUCUUCUUUUUGUACUAUAUCUAUUCUAUAUAAUUCCACAAGAUCCAGCUCGAUUUAUGGCUUAUGGACUGAAGUAACAUUUCUCCUGGGGUGUACAAAAUAUAGGGCCAGUGUGUCCAGUACAAACCUGAAAGACUUGCAGAUUUAAAGACACACACACACACAUACACAGACUGCUCCACACAGACAGAGCUGUGGUUCAGCAUGCCAGUUAUGUUUCACAAUAGGCCCUUACGCCAACCUGGCUUGAAUAAUUACAGUGAUUAAGGUGUUUUUCCUUCUUGGUUUUGAUAUAAUGUGCUCUAUGCUAUUCCUGUGGCCUUUCAAUAUGAAUAUACUUUAUAUAUAUAUAUAUGAGUUUAUAUGCAAAAGUUCCUCUCCUGGUAUAGCAUCAGAGAUGAGAAUACUACCACCAUGCUUGAAUGGACUUUCCUUGUCUGGAGUCAUAUCCCACAUAGAAUAGGAAAAACACAGAGGACUUGAUCACUUGCACCCUGGGAUUGAAAUAUAUUUCAGAACAGAGCUUUUCUAUUUAAAAAGAAACAAUUGACUUCAAGCUGCUUUCUUGUGAUUUUUUUCUUUCUUUCUUUCUUUCGCGUGCGUGCGUGCGUGCGUGUGUCUUUGUAACAAUGAAAGAGAAAUUAAGUGUUUUUCUCUGUUUGUAAAUUUGCCAGAUCACGGGAACGGCCGUUUCUGUGUCCUUAAACUUGUAGCUACAUCUCGGUGAAAUUGUGCUCUGGAGAGAAAGGUGUGAAUGAGCGAGAGGAGGCGAGGAGCGAGGCGUGAAAUACAAAGCGAAAGAAAAAGUGAAUGAUUUAAAAAUGUUACCUCAAUGAGGAAAUUUUCAGGGAUUUUUUUGACAAUGCAUCUUGCAUCGUGUUACAGCUUCAAAGUCACGUUGAAUAGCUGUUUUGUAUUGUGCUGUAAACAGUUUUUGUUUUGUUUUUAAAAAAAAGAUGCAAUCUGUCUGUGUAUAAAAAGAAGGGGCGUGUUAACUGGGGCAGUUUCACCUUUCUGUCAGUAUAUUGAAUCAACACAAGACAUGUUUAUACCGCAAAUAAAUAUUGAAAUAUUUUUUUUCUUUAA
ensembl:lncRNA